GAAGUAAAAGUCGUAACAAGGUUUCCGUAGGUGAACCUGCGGAAGGAUCAUUAACGAAUAUGUUUUGUCGGGAAGGGUUGCUGCUGGCCUCUCCGGAGGCAUGUGCACACCCCNAACUGCAAUCCACCCCUCACACCUGUGCACAACCGUGGCUUCCUGGGAUGCUAACGGGGUCGGGUCCUCUGGACCUGGCUUCGGAUGCUUGGGGUCGCGAACCUUUUACACACACUUUAUGUAUCAGAACGUAAAAGCUUGUAGCGCCGUAAAAAAGCGUGAAUAAAUACAACUUUCAGCAACGGAUCUCUUGGCUCUCGCAUCGAUGAAGAACGCAGCGAAAUGCGAUAAGUAAUGUGAAUUGCAGAAUUCAGUGAAUCAUCGAAUCUUUGAACGCACCUUGCGCUCCUUGGUAUUCCGAGGAGCAUGCCUGUUUGAGUGUCAUGAAAUUCUCAACUGCACUGGGUUUUCUUUUUGACCCAAUGUSAAGUUGGACUUGGAGGAUAACUGCUGGCGCACUCCCUCUUUCGGGUGGGGAGAGCUUGUCGGCUCCUCUUGAAUGUAUGAGCUUUCCAGAUUGGUUAGUGACUCCGAUGUGAUAAAUGUCUACGUCGGUUGGUCCUUCCGAUUGAAGCUUCACCAUUGCGGGGACGCCUUGCGCGUGUGCCCCCCCGUGACCUUGACAAAUUUGACCUCAAAUCAGGUAGGACUACCCGCUGAACUUAAGC
rnacentral:rRNA from 1 species